GUGCUCACUUCAGCAACACAUAUAUUAAAAUUGGAACAAUACAGAGAAGAUUAGCAUGGUCCCUGUGCAAGGAUAACAUGCAAAUUCGUGAAGCGGUCCAUAAGAAA
rnacentral:snRNA from 1 species